CCUACGGGUGGCAGCAGUGGGGGAUAUUGCACAAUGGGGGGAACCCUGAUGCAGCGACGCCGCGUGGGUGAAGAAGCGCCUCGGCGCGUAAAGCCCCGUCAGCAGGGAAGAAAAUGACGGUACCUGAAGAAGAAGCCCCGGCUCACUACGUGCCAGCAGCCGCGGGAAUACGGAGGGGGCAAGCGUUAUCCGGAUUUACUGGGCGUUAAGGGGGCGCAGACGGCGCUGCAAGCCAGGAGUGAAAGCCCGGGGCCCAACCCCGGGACUGCUGUUGGAACUGCGUGGCUGGAGUGCAGGAGGGGCAGGCGGAAUGCCCGGGGUAGCGGUGAAAUGCGUAGAUAUCAGGAGGAACGCCGGUGGCGAAGGCGGCCUGCUGGACUGCAACUGACGUUGAGGCCCGAAAGCGUGGGGAGCAAACAGGAUUAGAUACCCGGGUAGUC
rnacentral:rRNA from 1 species